GAGGGUAUAGCUCAAGUGGUAGAGCUGCAUGCUUAGCAUGCUUGAGGUCUUGGGUUCAAUCCCCAGCAUCUCCU
rfam:Camelus ferus unplaced genomic scaffold scaffold1777, whole genome shotgun sequence.